rnacentral:rRNA from 1 species
CUGGCUGUGUGCCUAAUACAUGCAUGUCGAGCGAUGCUAGCAAUAGCAUAGCGGCGAAUGGGUGAGUAACACGUACUCAACGUACCUCUUAGAUUGGGAUAGCGAACGGAAACGUUCGAUAAUACCAAAUACUUAUUUUUAUCGCAUGAUUUAAAUAUAAAAGGAGCGUUUGCUCCGCUAAGAGAUCGGGGUGCGCAACAUUAGCUAGUUGGUGAGGUAACGGCCCACCAAGGCGAUGAUGUUUAGCGGGGUUGAGAGACUGAACCGCCACACUGGGACUGAGAUACGGCCCAGACUCCUACGGGAGGCAGCAGUAGGGAAUAUUCCACAAUGAGCGAAAGCUUGAUGGAGCGACACAGCGUGCAGGAUGAAGGUCCUAUGGAUUGUAAACUGCUGUGGUAAGGGAAGAAAAAGUAGUGUAGGAAAUGACAUUACCUUGACGGUACCUUAUUAGAAAGCAACGGCUAACUAUGUGCCAGCAGCCGCGGUAAUACAUAGGUUGCAAGCGUUAUCCGGAAUUAUUGGGCGUAAAGCGUCUGUAGGUUGUUUGUUAAGUCUGGCGUCAAAUUUUGGGGCUCAACCCCAAACCGCGUUGGAUACUGGCAGGCUAGAGUUAUGUAGAGGUUAGCGGAAUUCCUUGUGAAGCGGUGAAAUGCGUAGAUAUAAGGAAGAACAUCAAUAAGGCGAAGGCAGCUAACUGGGCAUACACUGACACUGAGAGACGAAAGCGUGGGGAGCAAACAGGAUUAGAUACCCUGGUAGUCCACGCCCUAAACGAUGAUCAUUAGCUGAUGGGGAACUCAUUGGCGCAGCUAACGCAUUAAAUGAUCCGCCUGAGUAGUACGUUCGCAAGAAUAAAACUUAAAGGAAUUGACGGGGAUCCGCACAAGCGGUGGAGCAUGUGGUUUAAUUUGAAGUUACGCGUAGAACCUUACCCACUCUUGACAUCUUCUGCAAAGCUAUGGAGACAUAGUGGAGGUUAACAGAAUGACAGAUGGUGCAUGGUUGUCGUCAGCUCGUGUCGUGAGAUGUUCGGUUAAGUCCUGCAACGAGCGCAACCCUUAUCCUUAGUUACUACCAUUUAGUUGAGGACUCUAAGGAGACUGCCCGAGUAAUCGGGAGGAAGGUGGGGACGACGUCAAAUCAUCAUGCCUCUUACGAGUGGGGCUACACACGUGCUACAAUGGACGGUACAAAGAGAAGCGAAGUGGUGACAUGGAGCAAACCUCAAAAAACCGUUCUCAGUUCGGAUUGAAGUCUGCAACUCGACUUCAUGAAGUUGGAAUCGCUAGUAAUCGUAGAUCAGCUACGCUACGGUGAAUACGUUCUCGGGUCUUGUACACACCGCCCGUCAAACCAUGGGAGCUGGUAAUGCCCGAAGUCGGUUUAUAAAGAAACUGCCUAAGGCAGGACUGGUGACUGGGGUUAAGUCGUAACAAGGUAUCCCUACGAGAAC